rnacentral:rRNA from 1 species
GAAAUGCGAUACUUAAUGUGAAUUGCAGAAUUCCGUGAAUCAUCGAGUUUUUGAACGCAUAUUGCGCCCGAGACCUCGGUCGAGGGCAUGCCUGCCUCAGCGUCGGUUGACCCCUCUCGUCUUCGUUUCCUUGAUCGGAAGCCAGACGGACCUGGCAGUCCCGCUGGCGACAGCGGGUCUGCUGCAGACCAGACGACGCGCAGCCUCGCUUACGCAAAGGCCGCUGGAUUGGUAGGUUCCCUUUGCAGGAAACAUGCCCAUCGAGUGGCUGGGCUUGACCACUGCGCCGUUUAUAACCACAGCUUCGAUCGGGCCUACUCUCCCGAUCGUCGCUUUCUCAGUUCGACCUGAGUUCAGGCA